rnacentral:lncRNA from 1 species
CAGCAUAUGAUGUAUGGUUUUGGAGAUGAUCCCAAUGUAAGUAUAAUUCCUCAGAAAUUUUGAAUACUGCCCUUUUCAUUACUUUCUAUUUUUCGUUUCAGUUUAUGGAUUAUGAUUGAAAUCUCAAUGAAAAUGAGAGCCGAACCGAUCAAAUUAGUCCCUCUAUUAUUAAAUGUAUCAAUUUAAUCCUUGUACUAUUAAAAAAAAUAAAAUAAG